AGACACUGUUCUGGAUAAGCAGCUGUUGUGUUACUUUGCUUCAGUGAUUUUUAUCAUUUAAACUUAAGAUCUAGGCUGUAUCUGUCAACAGUCUGUGACUUCCCAAAGGCUUUGUGCAGUCCUGCUGCUGCUCAUAGACUUGGAACCAUUUCAGAGCAGGUGAGGUGCAAUUACUGUGGAUGGUUUCUACUCUGGUGUACUAGAGGUGGUUGCUGUUUACAGUUGCAGUUCGAAGGAAAUCUUGCUCCUGCAGAUUUCAGGACUGUCAGGAAGGAUGAGGAGGCAGUCAUUGACAAAAUCAGUUAUAUUCAGAAGGCAACCAUGCCAGAAGGUGUCAACCACACUGGAACGCAGUGGAAGAAAAGGAGCUAAUAAUUAUAAGCACUCUCAUUAUUUAGAAAGUACGCUACUCAAAAUGAAUUCAGCUUUCUGAUGACAAGUGAUUUCUCUCACCCCAAGGAGCAUUUCAAAGCAUCCACACAACCAUCUGCAUGAACCCCAGGAGGUGAAGGUAUGGGACCCUCCUUCCAGCUGUGGUGCAGUGAUCCAUCUGUCUGAGCACAUUUCCAUUUAUCCUCCAGGAAGAGAAUGCGCCACCCUCAGGCCUCCCUGAACUGUGAUUUCAGCUGCAAGAGACAGAACAAGGACUGAACAGGGAACUGGGUGAAAUAAAGUCAAUCUAAAUUUGUGGGUUAAUACCUGCAAGGCAUGCCAAUAUUGAUGUGCCAGACAGCCCUUUCCAUCAAAGUGCAGAAUGUGGAUCUGUGAAAGGAGUACAGAGAGCUGCAGAAAAAUCUGAGCUCAGAAACCUGGUGAUACUUCCAGUGGAAAGAUUUCCUUCCGUCCAGCUUCAGCACAGACAGCUUCAGGGACACAUGAAUAUCAGUGGCAGGUUCUGUGAGCACUUGAAAGCCUGAGCUGAUGUCUGAAGGCAGAACUGAAGUUAGGGUUCCCGAUACCUUUCUAGUAGGGAGUUCUGAAUCUGAAAGAUACAGUGGCUUCAGAUCCUACUGCAGAACUGGUCCUCUGUGCACCAUAGCAGAUUCAGUGCGAAGUGAAUUACAACAAUGUUUAUCUGAUUUUCAG
rnacentral:lncRNA from 1 species